rnacentral:rRNA from 1 species
CCUACGGGAGGCAGCAGUGGGGAAUAUUGCACAAUGGGGGGAACCCUGAUGCAGCGACGCCGCGUGAGUGAGGAAGUAAUUCGGUAUGUAAAGCUCUAUCAGCAGGGAAGAAAAUGACGGUACCUGAGUAAGAAGCCCCGGCUAACUACGUGCCAGCAGCCGCGGUAAUACGUAGGGGGCAAGCGUUAUCCGGAUUUACUGGGUGUAAAGGGAGCGUAGACGGCGGUGCAAGUCUGGAGUGAAAGGCCGGGGCUCAACCCCGGGACUGCAUUGGAAACUGUACGGCUGGAGUGCAGGAGGGGCAAGCGGAAUUCCUAGUGUAGCGGUGAAAUGCGUAGAUAUUAGGAGGAACACCAGUGGCGAAGGCGGCUUACUGGACGGUAACUGACGUUGAGGCUCGAAAGCGUGGGGAGCAAACAGGAUUAGAUACCCUAGUAGUC